CUCUUCCUCCUACUCUAGCCAUGUAAGACGUGCCUGCUUCUCCUUCAUCUUCUGCCAUAAUUAUGAAGAAAAGGAGGCUCAGAGAGUUUAAGAAACUUACCCUCCUCACACCAUGGAUAACAGGCAGAGCCAAAAGCAAAUGCAGAUGAAGACGUUGAUGCUCAAAAGUCGCUAAUGAGAAGCUGAGCCAAGAGUCAGAUCCAAAGUCCUUCCAGCUCUGAAGCCUGCAUUGUUUCCAACGCAUGAUGUUGUCUGAAUGGCUCAGUGAUGGCUUGGCUGAAGAAGACUUCAUGAUCACUCCCAUUUUGAAGAUCAGCACAUUGAGGUUCAGAGUGGUGAAAUGACUUGAAGUUCCUGUGGAGAGUAAAUGGGAAACAUCAGAGGAAUGAUUUGAACCCUGGUCUGUCCACCUUCAGUGCCCAUAUUUUGUCCUCCAUGCUUUGAAGCACAAAUCAUGAUUCAGGUGAAGAAAGAUAUUUUAAGAGCUAUGAAGAUUGCUGGUAUUCUCAACAACAAGAGCUCUGUGGUCACAUGUUAAGUAUGAGUGCUGUGCUAUAUUAUUAUCCGCACUUUAUGGAGAGGAAACUGCAGGGAAGCCCUCA
rnacentral:lncRNA from 1 species